rnacentral:rRNA from 1 species
UACGAAGGGGGCUAGCGUUGCUCGGAAUCACUGGGCGUAAAGGGCUCGUAGGUGGCCAACUAAGUCAGACGUGAAAUCCCUCGGCUUAACCGGGGAACUGCGUCUGAUACUGGAUGGCUUGAGUUUGGGAGAGGGAUGCGGAAUUCCAGGUGUAGCGGUGAAAUGCGUAGAUAUCUGGAGGAACACCGGUGGCGAAGGCGGCAUCCUGGACCAACACUGACACUGAGGAGCGAAAGCCAGGGGAGCAAACGGG